AGACCCGAAACCCGGUGAUCUAGCCAUGGGCAGGUUGAAGGUUGGGUAACACUAACUGGAGGACCGAACCGACUAAUGUUGAAAAAUUAGCGGAUGACCUGUGGCUGGGGGUGAAAGGCCAAUCAAACCGGGAGAUAGCUGGUUCUCCCCGAAAGCUAUUUAGGUAGCGCCUCGUGAAUUCAUCUCCGGGGGUAGAGCACUGUUUCGGCUAGGGGGCCAUCCCGGCUUACCAACCCGAUGCAAACUGCGAAUACCGGAGAAUGUUAUCACGGGAGACACACGGCGGGUGCUAACGUCCGUCGUGAAGAGGGAAACAACCCAGACCGCCAGCUAAGGUCCCAAAGUCAUGGUUAAGUGGGAAACGAUGUGGGAAGGCCCAGACAGCCAGGAUGUUGGCUUAGAAGCAGCCAUCAUUUAAAGAAAGCGUAAUAGCUCACUGGUCGAGUCGGCCUGCGCGGAAGAUGUAACGGGGCUAAACCAUGCACCGAAGCUGCGGCAGCGAACGUAUCACUUAAAGCGAUUCAGCGGGUUACGAUUGACGGAGCGAAGCGACGUCAAAGCGUAUACAAAGUCGAGUCGGUUUAAGGAUACGUUCGUUGGGUAGGGGAGCGUUCUGUAAGCCUGUG
rnacentral:rRNA from 1 species